rnacentral:misc_RNA from 1 species
UUUAAAUGUUGAACAGUGAUUUGGGGUUUGCAUUUCUGGGCUUUUGCUUGGUGAAACUGAAACAUUCUCAGUUGCCUAUCGCUCUAAGUUCUGAUUCUUCACUGAAGUACGGGUAUUUUAAGCUGUGAUUCUUUGAUCUACAGAAAAAUUGUACCAUUGUGGAGAAGUGGGAUUCUUAUACAUAUUAAUGUUCCUCAGCUGCUUUGUGAAGAAAAUUUGAGUUCUUGUAUUGAGGCACUCUUAGUCCAGCAAGAAAUAGUUCCCAAUAAUGGCAUUUUUAUGCUUGUCUUAUGUUUUGCU